CUGAUGCAGCCAUGCCGCGUGUGUGAAGAAGGCCUUCGGGUUGUAAAGCACUUUCAGCGAGGAGGAAAGGUUGGUGGUUAAUACCUGCCAGCUGUGACGUUACUCGCAGAAGAAGCACCGGCUAACUCCGUGCCAGCAGCCGCGGUAAUAC
rnacentral:rRNA from 1 species